AGAGUUGAUCCUGGCUUAGGAUGAACGCUAGCGACAGGCUUAACACAUGCAAGUCGAGGGGCAGCACGGGAGUAGCAAUACGUUGGUGGCGACCGGCGCGACGGGUGAGUAACGCGUAUGCAACCUACCUAUCAGGAGGGGAAUAACCCGGCGAAAGUCGGACUAAUACCGCAUAAAACAGGGGCACCGCAUGGUGAUAUUUGUUAAAGAAAUUCGCUGAUAGAUGGGCAUGCGUUCCAUUAGGUAGUUGGUGAGGUAACGGCUCACCAAGCCGACGAUGGAUAGGGGAACUGAGAGGUUGGUCCCCCACACUGGUACUGAGACACGGACCAGACUCCUACGGGAGGCAGCAGUGAGGAAUAUUGGUCAAUGGGCGGGAGCCUGAACCAGCCAAGUCGCGUGAAGGAAGAAGGAUCUAUGGUUCGUAAACUUCUUUUGCAGGGGAAUAAAGUGCAGGACGUGUCCUGUUUUGUAUGUACCCUGAGAAUAAGGAUCGGCUAACUCCGUGCCAGCCGCAGC
rnacentral:rRNA from 1 species